GCAUACGGCUCAGUAACGCGUAGCCUUUUAACCUAUGGACGGGAAUAACCUCGGGAAACUGAGAAUAAUGCCCGAUAGAACAUUAUGCCUGGAAUGGUUUAUGUUCCAAAUGAUUUAUCGCCGUAGGAUGGGACUGCGGCCUAUCAGUUUGUUGGUGAGGUAAUGGCCCACCAAGACUAUUACAGGUACGGGCUCUGAGAGGAGUAGCCCGGAGAUGGGUACUGAGACACGGACCCAGGCCCUAUGGGGCGCAGCAGGCGAGAAAACUUUGCAAUGUGCGAAAGCACGACAAGGUUAAUCCGAGUGGUUUCUGCUAAAGAAACCUUUUGUCAGUCCUAGAAACACUGAUGAAUAAGGGGUGGGCAAGUUCUGGUGUCAGCCGCCGCGGUAAAACCAGCACCUCAAGUGGUCAGGAUGAUUAUUGGGCCUAAAGCAUCCGUAGCCGGCUCUGUAAGUUUUCGGUUAAAUCUGUACGCUCAACGUACAGGCUGCCGGGAAUACUGCAGAGCUAGGGAGUGGGAGAGGUAGACGGUACUCGGUAGGAAGGGGUAAAAUCCUUUGAUCUAUUGAUGACCACCUGUGGCGAAGGCGGUCUACCAGAACACGUCCGACGGUGAGGGAUGAAAGCUGGGGG
rnacentral:rRNA from 1 species